UUUCGUCUUCCCGACGCUGUCUUGUGCACCUGUACGCUUCCCUGAUUUUCUUUUAUUAUUUUAUUUGUUUUAGUCCUCUUUGUCUCUCUCGUGGAAAUUUCAGGCUGAAAGCUGAAUGAAAACUUUCAUCAGUAACCCUAGGUCUCUACUUGCUAUUCAAUCUCAAUAGUUAAUCGAAUCCAUCUCUGCGUUUUCUGCUAUACACCCGCACAUAUAUACAUACACACCCGCGUAUCUGCGUAUAUACGCACAUCUAUAUGCGCAGAUGGAGAGAAUAGUUGGCGACAAGUAUAAGCUGGGUCGGAAGAUCGGGAGCGGUUCCUUUGGAGAAAUCUUUUUAGCUACUCAUAUCGAUACCUUUGAGAUCGUUGCUGUUAAGAUGGAAAAUAGGCAGACUAAUCAUCCCCAGUUGCUUUACGAGGCUAAGCUGUAUAAUAUACUUCAGGGAGGAGGUGGAAUUCCUAACAUAAAAUGGUGCGGGGUUGAUGGAAAUGAUAAUGUCCUUGUUAUCGAUUUGCUUGGACCCAGUCUUGAAGACCUUUUUGUGUACUGUGGGAGGAAAUUCUCUCUAAAAACUGUUCUUAUGUUGGCUGAUCAGAUGAUUACCAGAAUAGAGUAUGUACAUUCAAAAGGAUUUUUGCACAGAGACAUCAAACCAGAUAACUUUCUCAUGGGCCUUGGAAGGAAGGCAAAUCAGGUCUACAUCAUUGAUUUUGGACUUGCCAAAAGAUAUCGUGAUCCCACUACCAACAGGCACAUUCCUUACAGAGAUAACAAAAACCUCACUGGGACUGCACGAUAUGCAAGUUGCAACACUCAUUUGGGAAUAGAACAAAGUCGGCGGGAUGAUUUGGAGUCUCUUGGCUAUGUUCUCUUGUACUUCCUGAGAGGGAGCCUUCCAUGGCAGGGUCUAAAAGCUGCAACAAAGAAGCAAAAAUAUGACAAGAUAUGUGAGAAAAAGUUAUCAACGCCAAUUGAGGUUCUGUGCAAAUCUCAUCCAGUGGAGUUUGCGUCAUAUAUGCACUAUUGUCACUCCUUGUCAUUUGAUCAGCGACCUGAUUAUGGAUUCCUGAAGCGCUUGUUUCGUGAAUUAUUUACUCGUGAAGGAUAUGAAUCUGAUUACGUGUUUGAUUGGACCAUUUUGAAGUAUCAGCAGUCGCAGAAGUCAAAGGCACAGCUUCAAUCACCUCAUCCACAGCCAAUUUCUGCAGUGACCAGUACACGAGCAUUGCCAAAGGAUUUAAACACACGGCAAGUUGAAACUACAGCACAAAGUGGAUCAACUAGUUUUGCACGUCCUGCUGGUCACAUUCCCUUUAAGCCUAGGGCUGUUCAUAAUCUCAAUUCUGAUAAUCUGACUACAAAAAAUAUUGCGAGCAACGCACCUGCUCCAUCUAUUUCACUUGCUGAUGCCUUUAAGAGUAGUCCCCCUAGACAAGAGGAUUCAACUGAAGCUGGAAAUAUUGCUCGUGGGCAGAGCAGCAGAGCUGGUGCAUCAAGCAGCAGGCUACCAUUCUUACAUCGGAUUUCAUCAGCAAAGUGAAUUGGUAUUAAGUCUUGCAGACAUGAGGGGAUCUAAGGAGGGGAGUAUAUGCAUAUAUUGAUCAAUUCUCUGAAGUUGGAUUCACUUGAACCUGAGUCUACAAGAUUUCUUAUGUAUUUAUCUUAAGUUUUAACCUAGGUACUCAGGUCCUUGAGAGUUUGAAUCAGCAAUUGGCCAGUAAGCCUUGAGAUGUGAUCACUGUUCAAUAUUUGAAGAUCGACAGAGUGUUCCCGUUACAAAUCAAGCCUUGAUUUCCGUAGAAACCAAUUAUGUGCAUGCUGGUGAAGAGUUCAGUCUGGCAUCGGCAAAUGAGCAGGAGUAUGUCACAUCAUUAAUCACUGGUGGAUGGCAUCAAACUUUUUGGUAAAGUUAUCCAACAUUUUCUUCUUUAAAUGGGUAAAUAAAAUAUCCAAUUUACAGGGUUGUUUGUGGCUCAAAAGAUCAACUCAAAAAGGCAAUGAUAGUCAGUCAGAUCAAUUGAAAGGGUUUUUGCACAGGUGAAAGAGAUCUACAUAGGUAUGACCUUUACGUGUGUUUAUUCGGCAAGGCUAACAUCAUGGAAUUGCUUAUCGGGGUGCAAUAUAUAUGUUUUUUUUUUUUUUUUUUUUUUUGGGGUUAGACUACGAUGUAUCCUGAGUAGACCCCAAGUAUCAGGGGCACCUUUAAGCUUGUACCAUACCCAGACUAAUCCUGGUUUGCACCGGGUCAACCUAAUUAAGGGGUAAAUUGCUGGAUAUAUUGGUUUUUCCCAUACGAGAGUGGGUUUUGAAUUUCCGACCUCUUAAGGGAUGAGAGUGCACUGUCAUUCACGCUAAUCAAGUUGGUGCAAUAUUUAUGUUGUGUUUGUGCUGGUUGCAA